rnacentral:rRNA from 1 species
UGGGGAAUUUUGGACAAUGGGCGAAAGCCUGAUCCAGCAAUGCCGCGUGUGUGAAGAAGGCCUUCGGGUUGUAAAGCACUUUUGUCCGGAAAGAAAUCCUUGGCUCUAAUACAGUCGGGGGAUGACGGUACCGGAAGAAUAAGCACCGGCUAACUACGUGCCAGCAGCCGCGGUAAUACGUAGGGUGCAAGCGUUAAUCGGAAUUACUGGGCGUAAAGCGUGCGCAGGCGGUUUGCUAAGACCGAUGUGAAAUCCCCGGGCUCAACCUGGGAACUGCAUUGGUGACUGGCAGGCUAGAGUAUGGCAGAGGGGGGUAGAAUUCCACGUGUAGCAGUGAAAUGCGUAGAGAUGUGGAGGAAUACCGAUGGCGAAGGCAGCCCCCUGGGCCAAUACUGACGCUCAUGCACGAAAGCGUGGGGAGCAAACAGGAUUAGAUACCCCUGGUAGUCCACGCCCUAAAACGAUGUCAACUAGUUGUUGGGGAAUUCAUUUCCUUAGUAACGUAGCUAACGCGUGAAGUUGACCGCCUGGGGAGUACGGUCGCAAGAUUAAAACUCAAAGGAAUUGACGGGGUCAUAGCUGUUUCCU